CCUACGGGGGGCAGCAGUGAGGAAUAUUGGUCAAUGGUCGGGAGACUGAACCAGCCAAGCCGCGUGAGGGAGGAAGGUACAGAGUAUCGUAAACCUCUUUUGUCAGGGAACAAAGGCGGGGACGUGUCCCCGGAUGAGUGUACCUGAAGAAAAAGCAUCGGCUAACUCCGUGCCAGCAGCCGCGGUAAUACGGAGGAUGCGAGCGUUAUCCGGAUUUAUUGGGUUUAAAGGGUGCGCAGGCGGUCUGUUAAGUCAGCGGUGAAAGCCCGGGGCUCAACCCCGGCCCGCCGUUGAAACUGGCAGUCUCGAGUUGGAGAGAAGUAUGCGGAAGGCGCGGUGUAGCGGUGAAAUGCAGAGAUAUCGCGCAGAACUCCGAUUGCGAAGGCAGCAUGCCGGCUCCACACUGACGCUGAGGCACGAAAGCGUGGGUAUCGAACAGGAUUAGAUACCCCAGUAGUC
rnacentral:rRNA from 1 species